rnacentral:misc_RNA from 1 species
AACGCACAUUGCGCUCUCUGGUAUUCCGGAGAGCAUGCUUGUUUGAGUAUCAGUAAAACACCCUCAACCUUUUCUUUAUUGAAAAGGUUGGACUUGAGUGAUCCCAACGGUUUUUUUUAAAAGGCUGGCGGGUUGCUUGAAAUGCAGGUGCGGCUGGACACAUCUUCUGAGCUAUAAGCAUUACCUAUUUAGUCCCGUCAAACGGAUUAUUUCUAUUGCUACAGCUAAUAUAAAGGUUGAUUGUCCUGUGCCCGACUGAUGCAGGAAAACAUGGAGAAAUCCUUGUUCAACUCGAUCUCAAAUCAAGUAAGACUACCCGCUGAACUUAA